UUGAGAUUAAAGGCAUGCGCCACCUUGUU
rnacentral:piRNA from 1 species